CAUUAGUCUAUGUGUUGUGCUGAAUGUUGAGUUACAUGCAUCUGUAUUUAUUAAGCUACAAGUUAGUCCUGGGUCUCUUGAAUCGUGCCUCUGCAUAGAGUGCAUUUAUUACAACUAAAAGUGGCUAGACAUUUGUUCAUUACAUUUUGAGACUUUGGACUAUUUGUGUGUUAUCCAAGAUAGUAAGAGAUUGUUUUUCUUUUUCAUUCUUCUUGCAGGCCUGUCUUAAUAUUUUAAUUUUUUUUUGUAAUGAUCGUCAAAAGAGUACUUGCCAAUGGCAAUCUGUCUCCUGUCACAACAAAAUUUGAGAAAGUUGGCUGCUUCUUUCGUACUCCGUAUUCCUUAAUCCAUCCAAAAACAUACUGCUUCCACCUUCCCAUCCGUCCCUCGGGUAGUGAAACUGUUUUGUUGAUUCUUAUCUCUUUCGAUCCUCAAUUCAAUGCUUGAUGCUUACCACAUGACCAGAAUUUGUAGUUUAUCUGUUUGUUCAUGAAGUGUCAUAAUUUUACCAGUUGCAACUGCUUGGCUUAAUUCUAUGGUUGCAUUUUUCCUAUGAUUUAUCACUGAUUUGAUUUUCUCAAGUGUUGCCUACUUGGUCACUCAACUAGUCUGAACUCUGAAGUGUCUAGCAAAUACAUAGGGCAUAACUUGCCUUUGAUCAUAUUUCAUCCAUGACAAAUUGAAUUUAGUUUCAUCAUAUUUUCCCUUCUACUCCCUCCGUCCCAAAACAAGUGUACAAAGUUGAGACACUUAUUUUGGGACGGAGGGAGUAUAUUAUUGCAGAUCUGAUGCUGUUUUCCCUAGCCAAUGCAUAAACCUACUUUUACCCAUUUGUGAAUUCAUGGGGUGUUAGAUGGGCUCUAUGAUUCCCUGAAUCGUUUUUUGUCUAAAGAUAGGAAACCCAAGUUUGAGAUUGAGGAGAUGGAGCCCUCCAGGAAGGGGAGGUAUUUGACAAAGAGGCAUUUGAAGCUUCAGAGGAAGCGGGGAAAGAGGAAGAGGAAGGAGACCAAUAAAAAUGAUCACUGGCAAUAUCAGACCCAAGGGAAAAAUACAAAAGAGAAAUUUUCUACAGCUGAAGCUUGACUCAAAUAUAAGAUGGAGAAGGCACUUGAAAAUUCAAAACAUGAACAAUGGCUGGUGACAAUUCGUCGUUUCAUUGUAGUAUCUGAAAAAGGAGGUCAAACCAUACAAUCAGCAUGUUGCACUUUAAGGAAAAACACAAUCCCAGAAUGCUGAUCUGGUUCAUGGUGGUAGCAAGGAAGCUUAUUCACUAGGAAUAGAGGAAUUGGAUCAUGGAAAGGACCAAGGACCGUAUCUGGCCUGUCACGGCCCCUGGUGCAUCAACGGCAGCAUCCACCGAACAAGAGUCUGACGAGGAGGUGCCAGUUCCUGGAGACGGGGUUCAGUUAACUGAAGAAGGUUCAGAGAAGGAAACUGCCAAGCCCAGCCCAGCGCCGAUGCACCACCCGCGUGGUUCGGCCCAACCCCAGGGUCACCGGCCCGAACCGGACGCGCUGAGCAUAAAGGCAAAGGUAGGGUUGUUGUUGGGCCAGAACCUGAAGAAAGAAUCCCCUUGUCAUCUCACCUGCUCCUACUCUGAAUUCCUCUUUCUUCCUCGUCCCGAUUCUCUCCUUGUAUCCGGACAUGUGGACAUGUGUUCCCUGUAGAAACUCUGAUCCAUGGCAACUUGCGUGCCAUAGUGAGUACAAAGGGGUGAGACCUGUGUGCGCAA